rnacentral:ncRNA from 1 species
AAUCCUGCUCAGUACAAGAGGAACUGGUUCUGUCAUGUGGUUUUCCGUGUCUGGCUGUGGAGCCAGUGGUGCAAAGCUCUCAUCGGUGGGAUUGUGAUCGAGUGCCUCUAAGUCAGAAUCCGU